GUUUUAUAAUAAAUGUGUUUAAUUCCAAUGCAAAGACACUAUAAGUGCAUUAAUAUUAAAGCAAAUUAUACAAUCUUUAAUGACCUGACAACAGUAUUGUAACUAUAUAUCCCUUCUUGAUAAGUCUGUUUAAAGGUUUUGUUAACUUUUGAGGUGAAUACUGACAUUUUUGUGCUUUGUAAAGAAUAUUACCAUAAUAGAUUGGAUGUGAAAUAUCUGAACGUAUAAGCAUGUUGGGUUAUAUUUACAAAUUAUUUCCUUAAACAGAUGAUAAAAUUUAGUAAAUGUUUUGACUAUUUUGUGAUAUCUAAUACCCUGGUGUAAUAAUUUUUCAGUAAUACAUAAAUUUCUAUCACUAAAAUCUAAUACAUUGUUACAUACACGAGCAAAUCAUACAAGUUGAGAUAUAUAAACACCAUAAGAUAGAUGGUGACAAGGGAACGUCACUAUCUAAAAAUGGUUAAUUAAUGAUAGGAAAUGAAAAAUCAUCUCUUUUAGCAUAAAUUUUUGUAUUAAGCUUCCCGUUAACGAUAUGGAUAUCAAGAUCGAGGAAAGGGCAGUGGUCAUUGUUAGUAUUAGCUUUAUUUAAAGUAAGUUUAACAGGAUAAAUUUCUUUAGUUUACAUACUGAAGUCGUCGUUAUUGAGAGCCAAUAUAUCAUCCAAAUAUCUAAAAGUAUUGUUAAAUUUUUGUAUCAAAUGUUGUUUCCAUGGGUCUUUGCUGAUUUUAGUCAUAAAUUGUAAUUCAUAAC
rnacentral:lncRNA from 1 species